rnacentral:rRNA from 1 species
CCUACGGGAGGCAGCAGUGAGGAAUAUUGGUCAAUGGGCGCGAGCCUGAACCAGCCAAGUAGCGUGAAGGAUGACUGCCCUACGGGUUGUAAACUUCUGUUAUAAAGGAAUAAAGUGAGGCACGUGUGCCUUUUUGUAUGUACGUUAUGAAUAAGGAUCGGCUAACUCCGUGCCAGCAGCCGCGGUAAUACGGAGGAUCCGAGCGUUAUCCGGAUUUGUUGGGGUGAAAGGGAGCGUAGAUGGGUUGUUAAGUCCGUUGUGAAAGUUUGCGGCUCACCCGGAAAAUUGCAAUUUAUACUGGCAGCCUUUAGUACAGUUGCGGUAGGCGGCAUUC